CUGCAUGUUUAGGUGACGAAUUUCAGGUACAUAUCAUGUUUUUCUAAGAAUAACAAGAUAACAUUCUUCAGUUUUCGUAGGAAAGGUCAUGCAUGAUUUGCACUACGAUGAGUCAUGGUUCGGCUUUAAUAUUCUUAACUCUUCGAACAAGUCGAGAGUUAAGAGGGGGCGAUGUUUGUACCCUAUCCAAAAUAACACUCGUACGUAUCGCAUGAAACUUAUAAUGGAAGCUUAAAUCCGGUUUAUUGUGGAAGCCGGUUGGUUUAUUAGGGAAACCAGUGGGUUUGUUUUGGAAACCCACAAGGCUUAUUGUAGAAGCCUGGAUUGGUUUAUUAUGGAGACCAGAGGGUUUAUGGUAGAAACCCACUUGGCUUAAUAUGGAAGCCCAAAUUGGUUUAUGGUAGAAAUCCACCUGGCUUAAUAUGGAAGCCCAAAUGUCCAUGGGUAAAAAGAUCUUAAUAGAGAGGUUAAGAUUUUUAUGGAAUAAUUAUUAUAGAUAAUUAUUAAAUAUUAUUUAAGAUAAAUCCUGAUGGAAGGAGGAUAAUUAUCUUAAGUAGUAAUAAUUAUUAUUCAAGAUAAUAAUUAUUUAGGAUAAAUGUGGAUUAUGAUAAAUAUUAGGGUUUAUCAUGAAUCUGGUUGUUAUUUGGGAUGAAUACAGAUGAGGGAGGUUAUUUGGAUAACUAUUGAAACCCUAAAGUUACAUCUCUUUCUGCCUAUAUAUAGAGGUUAAAUCUCAACCCAAAGGAAAAAAAAACGAUUCUUUUCACCACAAUAUACUUGCAUAGAACAUCCGCUGACUUUAGCAUCAGAGUGUUUUUGCAGGUACCCCCAUCACUCUGAUCAAUUCUUUGGAGAUUCUUCGUCAACGGCAGUGAUUGGAUCAACCUUCCCGCAUCUCGGAGAUUGUUGGAGUGAAUAUUUUUGCACCAACAACUACAUUCAGAAUAUAUACUUAAAACUAAAGAAUACGAUAUAAUCGUUAUAAUGUCGGAAAAGGUGCGCAACUGACUUUGAAGCGCGCUGAAAAAUCUCGUACAACAGUUAACAAGUUGCCAGUUCAUGUAUUUUAAACUCUUUGCAAUUCAGGCAAAACUGUUUUGUCUGCCAAUCACCUUAUGCAAAUCUAGAUCUAAGGUCAGCUGCUCACAUGGAAAACAUCGUCGGUAUUUACAAAAAUAUGGAUGCCGCGUUUAGCACAAGCCGUUCGCAACUCUGCUCUCAGUCUCAUACUUCUG